CAUUGGUGGCUUCUACUCAGGGUUGGGGUUGAAAAAGACUAGAAGAGUCAAAGCUAUCUCCACCCAAAAUGGGAAGGAGACAGGGAGGGAGGCAUCACAUUUGGGGGCCAUGAGAGAGACAGAAGUCAGUGCCAACAACUGCAGAAGCAGGAGACAUACUCCAGGGCUUGAAAAAAAAAGCUGUUGCUGCCCCUACGGGAGGAUGUCUAUCCUCUGUGUGAGUCAUACAUGGAGCACCAUCUCAGGAGGGAAGUAGAGGGCAGGCAGACAAAAUAUGGGAGGAAGUGGACCAUUGCCAGACCUGAGCUCCAUCAACUUCUAUUAAUGGACAAUGACGCCAUGUUGGCUCCCAGCCAGGCCCCAGUGCACUUAGCCUGGCUGGGUGGAA
rnacentral:lncRNA from 1 species